GGUGAAGGGGUGACCUGAACGGCUGUGAUAAAAAACUAUAUGACAUAGUCUUGUAUCGUCUGGAGAACCCAGGUGACUUUGGUAGUCGUCUCCCAAAACUGUAAAAUAGAGACAGGUUGCCGGUCAUAAAAUUGGAAACAGUUAGUUAUGUAGGUUGACUCACUAGUAGAUGAAGCGGAUGAGGUCCUUAGUGUAGUAGAUGGGAGAAAUAUGAGGACUGUGUAUACGAUCUGGACCCUGUCGCCCAGAAGCGGCUGGUGGCUCGGUUCCGUUACCGACCAGCCCUCCCAAAAACACCUUUCCCCGUAGGGGUGUGGAAGACUUGUUUUAGCGAGGUCUGGG